GACAGUUUGGCUGAGUGGUCUAUGGUGCCAGAUUUAGGCUCUGGUCCGAAAAGGCAUGGGUUCAAAUCCCACAGCCGUCA
rfam:Ipomoea nil DNA, scaffold: scaffold3210, cultivar: Tokyo-kokei standard.